UGAUGACGAGACGCUAAGGCGUUGAAGCAGUGUAUGUCAGACUUCCAAGAAAAGCUCGCAAUGUCAUAAAUAAAAGAUGCCUGUACCAUAACCGACACAGGUGGGUAGGUAGAGUAUACUAAGGGGCGCGAGAUAACUCUCUCUAAGGAACUCGGCAAAAUGACUCCGUAACUUCGGGAGAAGGAGUGCCUUAUUUAUAAGGUUGCAAUAACAAGAUCCAAGCAACUGUUUAUCAAAAACACAGGUCUCCGCUAAGUCGUAAGACGAUGUAUGGGGGCUGACGCCUGCCCAGUGCCAGAAGGUUAAAGAAGUUGGUUAGUGUAUGCGAAGCUGAUGACUGAAGCCCUGGUGAACGGCGGCCGUAACAAUAACGGUCCUAAGGUAGCGAAAUUCCUUGUCGGGUAAGUUCCGACCCGCACGAAAGGCGUAAUGAUUUGGAUACUGUCUCGGAGAGAGGCUCGGUGAAAUAGACUUGUCUGUGAAGAUGCGGACUACCUGCACCAGGACAGAAAGACCCUAUGAAGCUUUACUGUAACUUGAAAUUGGAAUUGGACUUUGCUUGCGCAGUAUAGGUGGGAAGCGUUGAAGAUAUUCUUGCGGGAGUAUUGGAGCUAUCAGUGAGAUACCACUCUUGUAAUGUUAGAUUUCUAACUUUGAACCAUAAUCUGGUCAAAGAACAGUUUCAGGUGGGCAGUUUGACUGGGGCGGUCGCCUCCCAAAUGGUAACGGAGGCGUACAAAGGUUUCCUCUGAACGGAUAGAAAUCGUAUCUAGAGUGUAAAGGCAUAAGGAAGCUUGACUGUGAGACCUACAAGUCGAGCAGGGACGAAAGUCGGUCUUAGUGAUCUGACGGUACUGAGUGGAAAGGCCGUCACUCAACGGAUAAAAGUUACUCUAGGAUAACAGGCUGAUCUCCCCCAAGAGUUCACAUCGACGGGGAGGUUUGGCACCUCGAUGUCGGCUCAUCGCAUCCUGGGGCGGUAGUACGUCCCAAGGGUUGGGCUGUUCGCCCAUGAAAGCGGUACGCGAGCUGGGUUCAGAACGUCGUGAGACAGUUCGGUCCAUAUCCGGUGUAGGCGCUAGAAUAUUGAGAGGAGCCUUCUUUAGUACGAGAGGACCGAGAAGGACACACCGCUGGUGUACCAGUUAUCGUGCCAACGGUAAACGCUGGGUAGCUAUGUGUGGAGUGGAUAACCGCUGAAAGCAUCUAAGUGGGAAGCCCACCUCAAGAUGAGUAUUCUCU
rnacentral:rRNA from 1 species